AGGAGGAAGAGGGAGAGACCGUCAGUGUGGAUUAAACAAGAAGAAAGAGAGGGAAAGAAAGAGAAAACUCUGGCUUUGGAUCACAUAAAACAGCUGGGGAACAGCCUGCAUGUGAGAUGGUGUCAAAAGGAAGAAGCAGAGACGUGUGAAUGGAGCAGACUCGAGAAGAUGCCAGAACCAGAAGGCGCCCGCUGAAGAUGCUAACUCCACACAAAAGAACUGCAUUUUCAACAGGUCUAACUGAUUCCACAGAUGACCACGGGCCUCUCGCAGAGCCGCGCCGAAGCAGAGAAACGCUGCACAGCCCGCUUUAUGUUUCACUAACCGGGAUUAAAUUUGGUUAAUGUAGGAAACA